rnacentral:lncRNA from 1 species
AUGGGCAUCCCACCCCAGCACUUUCUAGGAAGGAGGGCAGCAUUUUGAAGGGCUGGAAGUAGAGGAAGGAGGUUGCGGGUAGAAGACUCCAUACUUUCUGUGAUGCCUAUUCCUUAGGUAGGAACUUAGGAACCUCAGUCAGAGGCGUGGCUUGCCUGGGCCCCUGGGUGCAGCUGCACAGAUUCAAGCAGCCUGAAGGAAAGGUGACUGACAGCUAAUGAUCUGAAAAGAACUUGUCUCAACUCAACGUCAUUCCUGGCAUUAUCGAAC